CAUCUCCAUUCAGAUGUGGAAGGGACAACAUUUGCCAUCAGAAGCGGGCAAAGACAAACCAUAUUUUGCCGUGCAUAAGACACAUACUGCUAGCUACUUCUGAAUGGUAGCUACAAUGGAUGUGUACGGAUACAGUCUGACUGGUGGCCAAGCGAGUGUGGCAGCAAUUUGGAUCGGUAAUGAGCUGUGGGAUGCGAAGUAAGUUGUCCUUUUUAUAGUAUUCGAUCUCCAGCUUUCCUUCAGUUUUAUAAUUUAGAAUGUGUUCAGCUAACUAGGCAUCUUAAUCUUAAUAUAUAUUACUAAUUGGAGGCUCUUUUUGAAGCAUGAAGGUGAAGCCACCUAGGAUCCUAUGUGAAUACCUAAAAAAUAAAAACUUCUUUUAAAGCCUCCACGUAAAGCCAUCUAUAAUUAAAUAUCAUCUGUUUCAUCAUCUGAAGAUCAAAAGCGAAAAGGAUUACGCAUUGUGAUUAAAUAUCUUUUUUGUUGGUCCGGCAAAAAUGGAGCAACAAUACGAACAACUCAUGUCUAGCCAUUCUUAUUGAAUUGUUGUGAAAUCUCAUAUUUUUUAUUCCUAACAAAUCUAUUUCACAUGAUCGUUGUUUCACACCAUAACAAAUCUAUUUUACAACGCACGCAACCAUACCCCUAUGAGCAUCUAUGAGAGACUGGCCUAGCAGGUCUUUAAGAUUGACAAAGUUACCAUAGGCACCUUGUUAUCGAUGACCAUGUCACCUACUACUGAAAUAAUAGAGCUGAUUAAAUUUUGGAAUAAAUAUAGGAGUAUACGAGCAUUCGUGCCAAGUCGAGCACUUGAACCCGGGUGGACAAGUUCCAAAAAAAAAACUUAUCAACUGAGCUGUACUCAGUUCACAAUUAUAGAAGGUAAACUAUAUUACCAAUAUGAUUAUAUAACCUUAAAUAUAAAAUUCAAAGUUUGUAAAUAAUGAACUUUAGAGAAACUCUAAAUAAAAUCCUUACAUUAACACCUGGCCAUCCAUAUAUUUUAAACCAUGCAGUAGUCAUCCCAACUCUUUAAGAUAAUAAACAAACUUAAUCGGAAAACAAACGGUCCCUACCGAGAUACUAUAUCUCGCAAAAUAAAAUAAAUCUAUAUUUAUCCAUCUCUAAACCAUAAAAAACAGAAAAUGCCAUCUAAAUCUAAAUCUCUAAACCACUCAUAUUGUCAUCUAUAAAUAAAAGCAAUACGACCGAUCCCUUCCAUGUUCUGUACAAACCAUCGAACUUACCAUCCGGAGAUUACCUAGACGGCAUCACCAUCUUCAUCGCAGCAACCUUCAAAUCUAAAAUGAUGUCGCAGAGAUCAACCAGGUAAUCUCCCAAUCGCCUUCCCUUUUUGCACCAAACAACACGGAUUAAUUUUAGGCUCCACAAGUUGUAGAUUACUUUAUAUACGCAACAUGCAUGCAUAGAGAUCCUAAAGGAGCCGACCAACCUAGAUAAUAUCUGGAUACUGCCCUUUCGUUGGAGUUAAUCCAGAAAUUAUUUCAGGGAUGUGCCCUUUUUCAGAAUUCAGAUACAACAUAAGAUCCUUUUACGUACCUUUUUGUUUCCCUAUUACACCCUAAACAAUUCAGAUACCUUCUUCCAUUUACUAUCACAUCUAUUGAGCGAUAUAGGGAAAACUACUGGAACAGAGGACAUCCUGGUGAAAGGAACGAGGGCUGACCAGGAAACAGAAUAAUAUUACCGUCUUCUUUCAAGGAUGCACAAUUUACAAAGGACAGAACUUCCAAGAUGCUAUGAUGGCAUGUCAUUUGAUUGGAUACCCAGACCUAUUUGUUUCAUUUAUGUGUAACACCGUUGAGGAAGGAGAUGGUAACAAUGCAUCACUGGGCAUUCAUGCCAUCAGUAGUACGAUGUUUCAAGACAAACUGAGGCAAUUGAUGAG